GUGUCAGCCGCCGCGGUAAUACGUAGGGGGCAAGCGUUGUCCGGAUUCAUUGGGCGUAAAGAGCUCGUAGGCGGCUUGGCAAGUCGGGUGUGAAAUCUCCAGGCUCAACCUGGAGUCGCCACUCGAUACUGCCAUGGCUAGAGUCUGGUAGGGGACCAUGGAAUCCCUGGUGUAGCGGUGAAAUGCGCAGAUAUCAGGAGGAACACCAGUGGCGAAGGCGGUGGUCUGGGCCGGAACUGACGCUGAGGAGCGAAAGCGUGGGGAGCGAACAGGAUUAGAUACCCGCGUAGUCC
rnacentral:rRNA from 1 species